UCGUAGUGAACUGCGGAAGGAUCAUG
rnacentral:rRNA from 3 species